rfam:Streptomyces pactum strain KLBMP 5084, complete genome.
AGCUGGUUCGUCCCGUCAGCCGGACGGGACGUCGCAAGAGGGAACCCGGUGGGAAUCCGGGACUGCCCCGCAGCGGUGAGCGGGAACGACCGCCGUCAUACGCACUGGGUCCGACACACGGGACCCGGGAAGCGACGGCCAGUAGGUGUCCUCCUCGGUGCACGACCCGUACGAGUUGGUACGGGUCGAGCCCUCCGACGAGAGCGUGCCCGCGAGUCCGAAGACCUGCCAACU